UGGACAAUAUUAUCAAUACAUCAUCUCAGACAUAUAACUCAUUUGUAUAAAAAUCUGCUUUUCAUUCCAUCCAUGGUCAAACCCAUAUCCACAACAGGAUCUAUAACUGUAACUAUACACUAUAUACAACAGAAGGUUUAUAAUACACCAAAAGGGGAUAAACCUCUAUCUACAUUAUACUAUACUAUGAGCGGCACAGCUAGCAGGCAACCACUAAUCCGGCUCCUCUCUAUACAAUACCUGCCCUGCAAUCAAAAACACCAAACUGGGGAGUGAGUAUAUAAAUACUCAGUGAGUGGAGUAGAGAGUACUAUGCACAUGAGACAAGAUAUAAUCAUGGCUCGAGGUGAAAUCUCAAGAGCAUAUGAGCAGUUGUCAAGAACAGGGUACACAUAACUCAACAUAAGAAAUAAGGAGUAAAUCAUCACAAUCCCAAUCAACUCAUCUGGAGCAUAUAUAGAAUAAUCAAAUAAGUAUUUAUGAUAAAAUGAAUAUGCUCAACAGGUCAUAGUACUGAAUCAUAUAAAUCAGGUGUCAAUAGGUUGAAUCAUCAACAAGACAGCUAUCGGGAGGUGGGUUUUACGCCCCAGGCGAACCAGCAACAACUCCCUACUGUCACAUGCAUAUGCAGGAUAAGACACCAUAUCGAUAAUAUAAAUGCUAGACAGCUGUCGGGAGGUGGGUUUUACGCCCCAGGCGAAUUAGCAACAACUCCCCACUGUCACAUGCAUAUGCAGGAUAAGACACCAUAUUGAUAAUGUAAAUGCUGGCCAGUAUCCAGAACAGAAAUCCAUCUCACA
rnacentral:lncRNA from 1 species